CAAGCUAGCAAUUUUGAGAUGUUCAAGAAAGCAACUCUUGCUUCUUGAAAUAUAAGUUUUGCUAGAUGUGCAAGUUAACUUUUUGCUUCUUGAGAUAGGCAAGAUAGCAUUCCUUGGUGAUGUUCAAUAUAGCUAAGUUCUAGAUCAUACAAGCUAGUGAAUUUUAUAAAAUUUUAGAACAUACAUAAUCACCAAAGCAUCAUAAAUUUUAAUGAUGUGCAAAAUUACAAAUUUUGCAUGAUUGCAUUUGUGUGUCUUGAGAUUUGCAAGAUAGCACUUCUUGGUGAUGUUCAAUUUCUUCUCUUUUGAGAAGUGCAAUUUUUGCUUUCUUCUUGAAUUGUGCAAGCUAGCUAUCUCCCCUUUAGUCAUUGUCAAAAAGAAGGGAAAAACCCUUUACAUCAAUUUUUAAAUCAUGACAAAGGUUAGUAUCAAUCUCAUUUGUGCAUCAUUAUAUUUUCAAAUUAAAACAUGCACAUUUUCAAAACAUAUAAACUCAUUAUUAUAUGCAUGAUUCCAAAUCAUCAUUCAUAUUAUUUCAAUCAUUGUUUCACUCAUCACUAUAGCUUAUCAUGCAUAAUAUGUAAAACCAUCUAACAUGAUAUAAAUAUUUAUUUAUUUAAUUUUUUUGUAAGCAUUCAUGAUACACAUCAUACAAAAGCAUAUGCAUCAUUCCAAAUCAUAAAUAUUUCAAAUCAUCAUGGUAUUAAUUUGUCACAUUGCAUCCUACCAUGCAUGAUCGAAACUUCUCAUUUGCAUACAUCAAAAUAAAUUCAUGAAUAUCUCAUGCAUUCAUAUCAUCACUUGAGGAAUAUUGAAAAGAAAUAAUUGGGUGAUGAGAUAAAUAUUUCAUGAAUACAAAGAAUUGCAUAAAAAUCAUAUCAUGAAUACAA
rnacentral:lncRNA from 1 species